CUACGGGGCGCAGCAGUGGGGAAUAUUGCACAAUGGGGGAAACCCUGAUGCAGCAACGCCGCGUGGAGGAUGACGCAUUUCGGUGUGUAAACUCCUUUUAUAUAGGAAGAUAAUGACGGUACUAUAUGAAUAAGCACCGGCUAACUCCGUGCCAGCAGCCGCGGUAAUACGGAGGGUGCAAGCGUUACUCGGAAUCACUGGGCGUAAAGCGCGCGCAGGCGGCCCCUUAAGUUGGAUGUGAAAGCCUACGGCUUAACCGUAGAACUGCAUCCAAAACUGAGGGGCUAGAGUCUGGGAGGGGAAGAUGGAAUUAGUUGUGUAGGGGUAAAAUCCGUAGAGAUAACUAGGAAUACCAAAAGCGAAGGCGAUCUUCUGGAACAGUACUGACGCUGAGGCGCGAAAGCGUGGGGAGCAAACAGGAUUAGAUACCCGGGUAGUC
rnacentral:rRNA from 1 species